UGAGGAAGAGGAAGAGGAGGAGGAGGAGCUGAUUUGUUCCUGAACUCAAGACUCAAACUUUCAGUUCAGUUCAGUUCAGUUCAGUUCAGUUCAACUCUCCAACAUUAACUCUGCUCAACAUGGACUAUUAUGGUCUGUCUCUGCUCAUCAUCUCUCUGUUAACAGGUGUUGAGUCUCAACAACUAUCUCCUCUGAUGGCAGAAAACUUCAUUUCAGAGGGCGGCUCCGUUUCUCUGACCUACACAUUUUCUAAAGAAGCAACUGGAAGCGAUGAGUUCUACUGGUAUCGCCAACAUCCAGGAAAACCUCCAGAGUUCCUGCUCUACCACCUAGGAUCAGGAAAAAUACUGUCGGAGCAAACUGCUGGACGGGAGAUCGAUGUGAAGGGAAGAGACAUAAAGCUGCUGAUCUCCUCUACUGCAGUGUCAGACUCUGCUGUGUACUACUGCGCUGUGAGGCCCACAGUGACAGGAAACACCAGAACCCUGUACAAAAACCUGCAGUACUCCACAGCAGCCACUAGAGGCCCUCACUCCCUGCUCUUCAACGGUUUGUCAAGAUUCAGACUGAUGUGA